AAUAGAUACCCGGGUAGUCCACGCCGUAAACGAUGAGUGCUAAGUGUUAGAGGGUUUCCGCCCUUUAGUGCUGCAGCUAACGCAUUAAGCACUCCGCCUGGGGAGUACGGCCGCAAGGCUGAAACUCAAAGGAAUUGACGGGGGCCCGCACAAGCGGUGGAGCAUGUGGUUUAAUUCGAAGCAACGCGAAGAACCUUACCAGGUCUUGACAUCCUCUGACAACCCUAGAGAUAGGGCUUUCCCCUUCGGGGACAGAGUGACAGGUGGUGCAUGGUUGUCGUCAGCUCGUGUCGUGAGAUGUUGGGUUAAGUCCCGCAACGAGCGCAACCCUUGAUCUUAGUUGCCAGCAUUCAGUUGGGCACUCUAAGGUGACUGCCGGUGGCAAACCGGAGGAAGGUGGGGAUGACGUCAAAUCAUCAUGCCCCUUAUGACCUGGGCUACACACGUGCUACAAUGGAUGGUACAAAGGGCUGCAAACCUGCGAAGGUAAGCGAAUCCCAUAAAGCCAUUCUCAGUUCGGAUUGCAGG
rnacentral:rRNA from 1 species